rnacentral:lncRNA from 10 species
UGACUUCAGCUGCUUUAGGUACCUCAUGUCUCUGACUUCAACUGCUUUAGGCACCUCAUUUCCUCCAUGUUGGAAGCAGCUAGGACUGGGGACUGUCUGGACCUAGAGUUGGUGCUCAUCGUCCUGAUGGUGAAGGAAAGAGCAAGGCAUCUGACUUAUUUUGGAAGUUUUGGAGAAAAUAAGCAGAAGGCAUGGGGACUGGAAGUUGUGAGGUACGAUGAGGCUUUUGCUGAUACAGGAAUGAUGUCCUCACCCACUGGGCCAUAGGAGUGGCCUCCCAGGAUCAAAGAACAUGGGGAGCCAGCACUGCCAGGACGAAGAAAGAGCUUCAUUACUAUGAACUUGCUUGUGGCUGGAGGAAUUGAAGUGGAGACGCUGACUCCCGUGAGCUUGGAGACUGCAGGGAUGACAACCUUAUGUUACAUUGAUGUGUUCUCAUUUUUGUUGAGUAUGACUAUACUUCUGUACAUUUUAUUUCACUCUUUAAACAUUUAUGUUCCUGUGUUAUGAUUAAUUAAGUGUAGUAAAAUGAAGUGUUUGCAAAGUUAAAA